CUGCUCAGUAACACGUGGAUAACCUGCCCUUGGGACCGGGAUAACCCCGGGAAACUGGGGAUAAUACCGGAUAACGCAUAUCUGCUGGAAUGCUUUAUGCGUAAAAUGGAUUUGUCUGCCCAAGGAUGGGUCUGCGGCCUAUCAGGUAGUAGUGGGUGUAAUGUACCUACUAGCCUACGACGGGUACGGGUUGUGAGAGCAAGAGCCCGGAGAUGGAUUCUGAGACAUGAAUCCAGGCCCUACGGGGCGCAGCAGGCGCGAAAACUUUACAAUGCGGGAAACCGUGAUAAGGGGACACCGAGUGCCAGCAUCAUAUGUUGGCUGUCCAGAUGUGUAAAAUACAUCUGUUAGCAAGGGCCGGGCAAGACCGGUGCCAGCCGCCGCGGUAACACCGGCGGCCCGAGUGGUGAUCGUGAUUAUUGGGUCUAAAGGGUCCGUAGCCGGUUUGGUCAGUCCUCCGGGAAAUCUGACGGCUCAACCGUUAGGCUUUCGGUGGAUACUGCCAGACUUGGAACCGGGAGAGGUAAGAGGUACUACAGGGGUAGGAGUGAAAUCUUGUAAUCCCUGUGAGACCACCUGUGGCGAAGGCGUCUUACCAGAACGGGUUCGACGGUGAGGGACGAAAGCUGGGGGCACGAACCGGAUUAGAUACCCGGGUAGUCCCAGCCGUAAACGAUGCUCGCUAGGUGUCAGGCAUGGCGCGACCGUGUCUGGUGCCGCAGGGAAGCCGUGAAGCGAGCCACCUGGGAAGUACGGCCGCAAGGCUGAAACUUAAAGGAAUUGGCGGGGGAGCAC
rnacentral:rRNA from 1 species